UACGUAGGGUGCAAGCGUUAAUCGGAAUUACUGGGCGUAAAGCGUGCGCAGGCGGUCCGCUAAGACCGAUGUGAAAUCCCCGGGCUUAACCUGGGAACUGCAUUGGUGACUGGCGGGCUGGAGUAUGGCAGAGGGGGGGUAGAAUUCCACGUGUAGCAGUGAAAUGCGUAGAGAUGUGGAGGAAUACCGAUGGCGAAGGCAGCCCCCUGGCCAAUACUGACGCUCAUGCACGAAAGCGUGGGGAGCAAACAGG
rnacentral:rRNA from 1 species